CAGUCGCCGCGGUAAUACGAAGGGGGCUAGCGUUGCUCGGAAUGACUGGGCGUAAAGGGCGCGUAGGCGGCUGACACAGUCAGAUGUGAAAUUCCUGGGCUCAACCUGGGGACUGCAUUUGAGACGUGUUGGCUUGAGUGGAGAAGAGGGUCGUGGAAUUUCCAGUGUAGAGGUGAAAUUCGUAGAUAUUGGAAAGAACACCGGUGGCGAAGGCGGCAACCUGGUCUUUAACUGACGCUGAGGCGCGAAAGCGUGGGGAGCAAACAGGAUUAGAUACCCCGGUAGUCCCUGUCUCUUAUAC
rnacentral:rRNA from 1 species